rnacentral:rRNA from 1 species
GCUUGUACAGGUGCUGCAUGGCUGUCGUCAGCUCGUGUCGUGAGAUGUUCGGUUAAGUCCGCUAACGAGCGCAACCCUCGCUGUGUGUUACAAGUGUCACACGGAACUGCCGGUCAUAAACCGGAGGAAGGUGGGGAUGACGUCAAGUCAGCAUGGCCUUUAUAUCCUGGGCUACACACACGCUACAAUGGGAAGGGACAAUAGGUUGCGAAGCCGCGAGGUGGAGCCAAUCCAGUAAAACUUCCCUCAGUUCAGAUUGCAGGCUGCAACUCGCCUGCAUGAAGUUGGAGUUGCUAGUAAACGCAGGUCAGCCAUACUGCGUUGAAUACGUUCCCGGGGCUU